UACAGAGGGGGCAAGCGUUGUUCGGAAUUACUGGGCGUAAAGGCGCGUAGGCGGCCUGCUAAGUCGAACGUGAAAUCCCUGGGCUCAACCCAGGAACUGCGUCCGAUACUGGUUGGCUUGAGUUUGGGAGAGGGACGCGGAAUUCCAGGUGUAGCGGUGAAAUGCGUAGAUAUCGGGAGGAACACCAGUAGCGAAGGCGGCUCGCUGGGCCGUUCCUGACGCUGAGACGCGAAAGCUAGGGGAGCGAACAGG
rnacentral:rRNA from 1 species